CCCCUCUCCGGGUCGCAUCUGGAGAGUUUCCAGUACUUAACCAGUCUCGGUUAGGGGAGGGAGAGUCAAGCAGGCCUACCCAUUCUAUUCCUAGCUUGGCCAGUGGCUAGCAAGUGGAAAGCCUCCUGCUACAAGU